rnacentral:lncRNA from 1 species
GCGGAACAAACGGCACCAAGAUUGCCGGGAAUGGGCAAGAACAGGCUGCUCGACCUUGGCUCUUCGGAUGGCUCGCGCAAUGGCAGCAACCGCCCGCCAAAUCGACGCGACGCGACCGCCUGAAGGGAAGGAGAAGAGGAACAGCUCAGAGCACGGACGGGAAACAUCAGAGACAUGGAUGAAAUGUCAAGGGAUUGAAGCAACAUGCAGCAAAAUCACCAUCAACAAUCGAAGGGGACCUCAAAUGAAGAACCGGGCGAGUGGAAUCCACCAAUCUUUUACAUACCUCAGCCGCCGGUCGCCACCACCGCCGCAGCCGCGCGCGGACGAACAACUAACCCAGGCGAGCAAAUCGGACCGAGACCCGCCCAGAACCCGCGCUCUCCGCCGGAUCCGACGCCGGCGAGCGCCUGGGAGGCCAGGGAACCGCCCGAAAACUCCCCGCAAUUCCCCGCCCGACCGACCGACCGACCGCGGCGCGGCUGCUCCGGCGAGCAGAUGCAACGCACUCCGCGAGCUCCGAUUCGGCGGGCUCCCGGCGGCAAUCCGGCGAGGGUGCUGGCUAGGGUUUAUCGGAGGCGAGGGAUUGGGGAUAUUUUUCUCCGCUCCUCCCGGCGGCAGCUGUUUUUCUCUAGCUCGUGCGGUCGCAGAGGAACAACGAGAGUGCUU